rnacentral:lncRNA from 1 species
UCACACAACUAUAACAAUGUGUUCGUUUUUUAUAUUUAGGUUUUUAGAGAAACAUUUCUGUUAUUACAAAAAAACAGUGUUAAAAGAAGCUUUUACAUAAAGUAUUUCUGAACCAUCUUUUUUGACAGAUUUUUUUUGGAACAGAGUUGAAAUAACUGUGGUUCAUUCAAUGUAUUGAUAAAUUAUUCAAAAAAGGUACUUCAAUAUCUCCAACAUUAUACUUUGCAUUUAUCACAACUGUCAAUCAAUCAGCACACAUUUCUAUGCAUGUUGACAAUUCUGAUGGCCACUAUCUUUUGUUUCUGCUCUGUCAUCCAGGCUGAAGCACAAAGGCAUUAUCAAAGCUCACUGCAGCCUCAAGUUCCUGGGCUCAAGUGAUCCUCUCAUCUCAGCCUCGUCUACUUUGUUGUUUUUAUUUUGUAAUUUUGGUAUAAGUUUAUUCAUCUACUGUGGAUUUCCAUCAAACAACACAUCUUCAUUGCAGCUACAUUAAAAUACAAUUUUCUCCCUCAUAUAGUUAUGUGAGAAUAGAGAUCAUACCUGUACUGCUCAUCAUGAUAUUUUCAACAUCUGGUACUGUGGUUUGAAUUGGAUCUGAACACAUUCUCUGGAGUUAAACUGCCGAGGUGUAAAUACUGGCUCAGUCACUUAGCAAUUAUGUGAGGUUGGCUAAAUGACUUCACCAGUCUUUAUGAAGAUUAAAUGAUGUAAUAUUUGAACAGUGCCUAGAAGAGGAUCUAUCUGGCAUAUUAUAAAACUAUGCAAAUGAGGUCUUGGAUUUGCAUCUACUUCUCACUCAGUUGAUUUUCAAAUUACAGUUGACCCUUGGAAAACACAGGUUUGAACAGUGCGUAUUCACAUAUACAACGAUUUUUUUCCUGCCUCUGCACCUCCUGAGACAGAAAGACUACCCUCUCCUCAUCCUUCUCCUCAUCCUAUUCAAUGUGAAGACAAGAAUGAAGACCUUUAUGAUGAUGUAUUUCUACUCAAGGAAUAAUAAACAUAGUGUGUCUGCCUUAUAAUUUUCUUAAUCACAUUUUCUCUACCUUUAUUUUUAAAAAUACAGUAUAUAAUAUAUAUAUAACAUACAAAAUAUAUGUUAAUUGAAAGUUUAUGUCUUCAGUGAGGCUUCCAUUCAACAGUAAUCUGUGAGUUAAGUUUUGGAGGAGUUAAAAGUUAUACCAGGGUUUUCAACUGUUUCCCUAAUCCCUAAGUUGUUCAAGGGUUGCUUGAAUUUGUAAUUGUUGUGGGACUUGUCACUCA